rnacentral:rRNA from 1 species
CGGGAAAUGUAGUGUUAGGGAGGAUCCAACUAUCCCGAAAUGUCGAGGCGAGUCCAAGUCCAUCUUGAAUGGGGCCACUGCCCGUAGAGGGUGCCAGGCCCGUAGUGACCGCUUGCGCGUUUCGGGAGGAUCUCUCCUUAKAGUCGGGUUGCUUGAGAGUGCANCUCUAAGUGGGUGGUAAACUCCAUCUAAGGCUAAAUAUGACCACGAGACCGAUAGCGAACAAGUACCGUGAGGGAAAGUUGAAAAGAACUUUGAAGAGAGAGUUCAAUAGUACGUGAAACCGUUCGGGGGUAAACGGGAGAAGUCCUAAAGGUCGAACGGGAAGAUUCACGCGCUUUGGUAUCUGGCCACCUUUGUUACCAGACGGUGUUGGUCGCCCAGGACGACUUCGGUCGUGCCCGGUGUCGUUGUCUAACUGCCGCUCGGUAUGCAUCGGUGCCGUUCCAGUGUUAUUAAAGUGUGCACUUCUUCCCUAGUAGGAACGUCGCGACCCGUUGGGUGUCGGUCUAAGGCCCGAGGAGGAAGUCUGUGCCUAUGGUAAGCGGGGUGAGGCGCCGCAAAUUUACCUGGGUCAGACCCUCGGUGUCCCGGUCGACUGCUCGACGGUAUGUAGCGAAGGAGUUGAUCCGCUCUCCUUUGUGUGAGCGCCCGGCUAACAUCAUUCGGACGAGAUCAGUACCAUGUCGUGACUCAACCCACGGCGUGGAACCCUCGUGCCGUUUNNUCUUGUGAUGCCUCUCGGGCAGCAGAUUAUUCUCCCGUCUGCGACGCUAAAGCUUUGGAUAUUUUCCCGACCCSUCUUGAAACACGGACCAAGGAGUYUAACAUGUGCGSGAGUCAUUGGGAAUUUUAAUAAACCUAAAGGCGCAAUGAAAGUGAAGGUGAGAGCUUAAAAAAAUUUAUUUUUUUUUGGCACUUGCUCAGGGAAGAAGGUAACUGGUCCUUCACCAUAACCGGNGAAGUUCAACCGGACCCGCAUUCCCGGGGCGUCUCGUUCUCAAUGCGAGAUGAGGCGCACCUAGAGCGUACACGUUGGGACCCGAAAGAUGGUGAACUAUGCCUGGUCAGGACGAAGUCAGGGGAAACCCUGAUGGAGGUCCGUAGCGAUUCUGACGUGCAAAUCGAUCGUCGGAACUGGGUAUAGGGGCGAAAGACUAAUCGAACCAUCUAGUAGCUGGUUCCCUCCGAAGUUUCCCUCAGGAUAGCUGGCNNNNNNNNNNNNNNNNNNNNNNNNNNNNNNNNNNNNNNNNNNNNNNNNNNNNNNNNNNNNNNNNNNNNNNNNNNNNNNNNNNNNNNNNNNNNNNNNNNNAAAUGUGUGAGAUCUCAGGCUUGCUUGAAUGAAAAAGAAAUUUUUUUUUCAUGAAGCCGGAGAUGGAUAAGAGAUGCCAAGUGGGCCAUUUUUGGUAAGCAGAACUGGCGCUGUGGGAUGAACCAAACGCAGAGUUAAGGCGCCCAAAUUUACGUUUAUGGGAAACCAUGAAAGGCGUUGGUUGCUUAGGACAGCAGGACGGUGGCCAUGGAAGUCGGAAUCCGCUAAGGAGUGUGUAACAACUCACCUGCCGAAGCAACUAGCCCUGAAAAUGGAUGGCGCUGAAACGUAAAGCCUAUACUCUGCCGUCAGCGGCAGAGUGAUCCGAGGAGGCCCGCUACCGUAAGGUGUGUGGGCAGCCUUGGUUGCGAAGCCCUGACGAGUAGGAGGGUCGCGGCGGUGUGCGCAGAAGGGUCUGGGCGUGAGCCUGCCUGGAGCCGCCGUCGGUGCAGAUCUUGGUGGUAGUAGCAAAUACUCCAGCGAGGCCCUGGAGGACUGAUGUGGAGAAGGGUUUCGUGUGAACAGCCGUUGCACACGAGUCAGUCGAUCCUAAGCCCUAGGAGAAAUCCGAAACGAUGGUUGUUGCUUUAUUAAUUUAAAUUCAACACCGUCGGGCGAAAGGGAAUCCGGUUCCUAUUCCGGAACCCGGCUGCGGAACCGGUGUACGUCGGGUGUAUCAAGCCCCCAUGCCCGUUCGGAGUCUUAGCCAGGGUGUUCACUUCGGUGGCAUGCUGGCGGUCGCGGAUGUUGUGCAUCGGGGAUCUUUAAUACACUCGUCGGGGUAACCCAACAUGACCCGAAGACGCCGUCGGGAGAUCCGGGCAGAGUUUUCUGUUCUGCAUGAGCGUUCGAGUUCCCUGGAAUCAUCUAGCAUGGAGAUAGGGUUUGGAACGCGAAGAGCACCGCAGUUGCGGCNNUGUCUGGAUCUUCCCCUCGGACCUUGAAA